rnacentral:rRNA from 1 species
UACGAAGGGUGCAAACGUUGCUCGGAAUCAUUGGGCGUAAAGCGCACGUAGGCGGCCUCGCAAGUCUGAUGUGAAAUCCCUCGGCUCAACCGAGGACGUGCAUCGGAAACUGCGGGGCUUGAGUACUGAAGAGGAUCGCGGAAUUCCCGGUGUAGAGGUGAAAUUCGUAGAUAUCGGGAGGAACACCAGUGGCGAAGGCGGCGAUCUGGGCAGAUACUGACGCUGAGGUGCGAAAGCGUGGGGAGCAAACAGGG